rnacentral:rRNA from 1 species
UGGAAUGCGACUAAGCCAUGCGAGUCACGGGACUCUUCGGAGUACCGGCGUACGGCUCAGUAACAUGUGGGUAACCUACCCUCAGGAGGGAGACAACCUCGGGAAACUGAGGCUAAUAUCCCAUAAGUAAAAGAUACUGGAAGGUUCUUUUAUUGAAAGCUCCGGCACCUGAGGAUGGGCCUGCACCCGAUUAGGUUGUUGGUGAGGUAAUGGCUCACCAAGCCGACGAUUGGUACGGGUCGUGAGAGCGAUAGCCCGGAGAUGGGAACUGAGACAAGGUCCCAGGCCCUACGGGGCGCAGCAGGCGCGAAACCUCUCCAAUGUGCGAAAGCAUGAGAGGGGCAUUCCAAGUGCCCUUGCAUUGCAAGGGCUUUUCUUCGGUUUAAGACACCGGAGGAAUAAGGGCUGGGUAAGACCGGUGCCAGCCGCCGCGGUAACACCGGCAGCUCAAGUGGUGGCCACUAUUAUUGGGCCUAAAGCGUUCGUAGCCGGGCAGGUAAGUGUUCUGGUAAAUCUCAUGACUCAAUCAUGGGGCUUCAGAAUAUACUACUUGCCUUGAGACCGGGAGAGGCUGGAGGUACUUUCGGGGUAGGGGUAAAAUCCUAUAAUCC